UACGGAGGGGGCUAGCGUUGUUCGGAAUUACUGGGCGUAAAGCGCACGUAGGUGGCUUUGUAAGUUAGAGGUGAAAGCCCGGGGCUCAACUCCGGAAUUGCCUUUAAGACUGCAUCGCUUGAAUCCAGGAGAGGUGAGUGGAAUUCCGAGUGUAGAGGUGAAAUUCGUAGAUAUUCGGAAGAACACCAGUGGCGAAGGCGGCUCACUGGACUGGUAUUGACGCUGAGGUGCGAAAGCGUGGGGAGCAAACAGG
rnacentral:rRNA from 1 species